GCCAGGCACGGCCAGCGGCCGGUGCGGCGACGUAGCAGGCGCGACCGGCAGCGGCUCAGGUGCAGCGGGCGGCUAGGAGCACGUCGCGGUUGUGGUCAGCAGGGCCAUGGUGAUGACAACGACACUGUAGCAGCUCAAGAAAUACAGAUCGUGCGUCAGCGGGACGUCACAACGCGUGUACAUCUGGUACAUCGUGGCGGUGUCGUGCUCAUCUGAAAUACUUCUUAUCACCGUCUUCCUAGGUGUAGUCAAUAAAUCUCUCAUAAUCCAUGAACAUCGACAUUGGUCCGCGACGUGUUCGUCAGUCAAUUCAUGAAAGAGAAAUCCACAUCAUAGGUAGAUUAAAUUCGAAAAAGUAAACAAAUCGCAAAAACGGAACCGUGAUAAUGAGGGGAAUCCAUUUUUGCAAAGACGGGGGUCGGAUUUAUACCUUCGUGCGAUCGACGAUAGCCUGCUUGGUGCAGGCUUGACGCAGG
rnacentral:lncRNA from 1 species